rnacentral:rRNA from 1 species
AGGGCGAACGCUGGCGGCAGGCCUAACACAUGCAAGUCGAACGGACUCUUCGGAGUUAGUGGCGGACGGGUGAGUAACACGUGGGAACGUGCCUUUUGGUUCGGAAUAGCUCCUGGAAACGGGUGGUAAUGCCGAAUGUGCCCCCUCCUUUGAUCGGGGGGGUGGGAAAGAUUUAUCGCCAUUAGAGCGGCCCGCGUCUGAUUAGCUAGUUGGUGAGGUAAAGGCUCACCAAGGCGACGAUCAGUAGCUGGUCUGAGAGGAUGACCAGCCACAUUGGGACUGAGACACGGCCCAAACUCCUACGGGAGGCAGCAGUGGGGAAUCUUGCGCAAUGGGACGAAAGCCUGACGCAGCCAUGCCGCGUGAAUGAUGAAGGUCUUAGGAUUGUAAAAUUCUUCACCGGGACGAUAAUGACGGUACCGGAGAAGAAGCCCGGCUAACUCGUGCCAGCACGCCGAC